GAUGAACGCUGGCGGCGUGCCUAAUACAUGCAAGUCGAGCGAACAGACGAGGAGCUUGCUCCUCUGACGUUAGCGGCGGACGGGUGAGUAACACGUGGAUAACCUACCUAUAAGACUGGGAUAACUUCGGGAAACCGGAGCUAAUACCGGAUAACAUGUUGAACCGCAUGGUUCAACAGUGAAAGACGGUCUUGCUGUCACUUAUAGAUGGAUCCGCGCCGCAUUAGCUAGUUGGUAAGGUAACGGCUUACCAAGGCAACGAUGCGUAGCCGACCUGAGAGGGUGAUCGGCCACACUGGAACUGAGACACGGUCCAGACUCCUACAGGGGGCAGCAGUAGGGAAUCUUCCGCGAUGGGCGAAAGCCUGACGGAGCAACGCCGCGUGAGUGAAGAAGGUCUUCGGAUCGUAAAACUCUGUUAUUAGGGAAGAACAAAUGUGUAAGUAACUAUGCACGUCUUGACGGUACCUAAUCAGAAAGCCACGGCUAACUACGUG
rnacentral:rRNA from 1 species